rnacentral:tRNA from 1 species
GUUUAAAUAGCUUAUGAAGAGUGUAACACUGAAGAUGUUAAGGAAAUUAAUUGGAAUUUUUAAACA